rnacentral:rRNA from 1 species
AGAGUUUGAUCCUGGCUCAGAUUGAACGCUGGCGGCAUGCCUUACACAUGCAAGUCGAACGGGCUUUGGGGCUUGCCUCAAAGUUAGUGGCGAACGGGUGAGUAAUAUAUCGGAACGUACCCUUGAGUGGGGGAUAACCAGUCGAAAGAUUGGCUAAUACCGCAUACGAUCUAAGGAUGAAAGUGGGGGACCUUCGGGCCUCAUGCUCCUGGAGCGGCCGAUAUCUGAUUAGCUAGUUGGUAGGUAAAAGCCUACCAAGGCUUCGAUCAGUAGCUGGUCUGAGAGGACGAUCAGCCACACUGGGACUGAGACACGGCCCAGACUCCUACGGGAGGCA